rnacentral:rRNA from 1 species
GAAAUAAAAGUCGUAACAAGGUCUCCGUAGGUGAACC